rnacentral:rRNA from 1 species
CCUACGGGUGGCAGCAGUGAGGAAUAUUGGUCAAUGGACGAGAGUCUGAACCAGCCAAGCAGCGUGAAGGAUGACUGCCCUAUGGGUUGUAAACUUCUUUUAUAUGGGAAUAAAAUGUUCCACGUGUGGGAUUUUGCAUGCACCAUAUGAAUAAGGAUCGGCUAACUCCGUGCCAGCAGCCGCGGUAAUACGGAGGGUCCGAGCGUUAUCCGGAUUUAUUGGGUUUAAAGGGAGCGUAGGUGGCUUGUUAAGUCAGUUGUGAAAGGCUGCGGCUCAACCGUAGAAUUGCAGUUGAAACUGGCAGGCUUGAGUACAGUAGAGGUAGGCGGAAUUCGUGGUGUAGCGGUGAAAUGCUUAGAUAUCACGAAGAACUCCGAUUGCGAAGGCAGCUCACUGGA